GAGCCCGGAACUUUGCCUCAACCUGACAAAACAGACAGGUGAGCAAAGUUUCAGGUGUGU
rnacentral:pre_miRNA from 1 species